UACGGAGGGUGCGAGCGUUGUCCGGAAUCACUGGGCGUAAAGGGCGCGUAGGCGGCAUGCCAAGCGUGUGGUGAAAGCCCGGGGCUCAACCCCGGGUCGGCCGUGCGGACUGGCGUGCUCGGAGCACUGUAGGGGCGGGUGGAAUUCCGGGUGGUAGCGGGUGGAAUGCGUAGAGGAUCCGGAAGAACACCGGUGGCGAAGGCGGCCCGACUGGG
rnacentral:rRNA from 1 species